UACGUAGGGUGCGAGCGUUAAUCGGAAUUACUGGGCGUAAAGCGUGCGCAGGCGGUUCGCUAAGACCGAUGUGAAAUCCCCGGGCUCAACCUGGGAACUGCAUUUGUGACUGCAUAGCUAGAGUGCGGCAGAGGGAGAUGGAAUUCCGCGUGUAGCAGUGAAAUGCGUAGAUAUGCGGAGGAACACCGAUGGCGAAGGCAAUCUCCUGGGCCUGCACUGACGCUCAUGCACGAAAGCGUGGGGAGCAAACAGG
rnacentral:rRNA from 1 species